rnacentral:lncRNA from 1 species
AGCUUUUAGAUCUUCAACCAGACACCUGCCAGAAGUACCUUUAACAUGCAAACUAGCCAAGGGAGUUUGCCUGCUUCUAGUCACCAUCAAAGCAGAGAACCUGAAGAAAGAUUACGCACAUCCUCCUGGCACUGCCCCUGAGCUAUCCCUAAUGAAGAGGCAGGAAAACCAGGUCCAUCCUGAACAGCUGUGAUCAGUUUGCUGGCAAGCAAGCCUCGGAAAGGUGGUCGAGAGCUUUAUCGCCUCAUCCUUUCCUGCAGUGAGGAUUCCACUUUGAGCUCUGCCACGAAGUAGCUGUUGAUCUGUGGGCCACUGAUGAACAUCAUGAGGCCUCCCUUAGAACUUUGUUUAAUUUUGGGCACCUGGGGGGCUCAGCAGAUUAGGUGUCUGCCUUCAGCUCGGGUGGGGUGAUGAUCCCGGGGUCUUGGUGAUGGAGCCCCAUAUCAGGCUCCUUGCUUGGGGGGAGACUGCUUCUCCUUCUCCCUCUCCCUCUGCCACUC